GACGAACGCUGGCGGCGUGCCUAAUACAUGCAAGUAGAACGCUGAAGGAGGAGCUUGCUCUUCUGGAUGAGUUGCGAACGGGUGAGUAACGCGUAGGUAACCUGCCUGGUAGCGGGGGAUAACUAUUGGAAACGAUAGCUAAUACCGCAUAACAGUAGAUGUUGCAUGACAUUUACUUAAAAGGUGCAAUUGCAUCACUACCAGAUGGACCUGCGUUGUAUUAGCUAGUUGGUGGGGUAACGGCUCACCAAGGCGACGAUACAUAGCCGACCUGAGAGGGGGAUCGGCCACACUGGGACUGAGACACGGCCCAGACUCCUACGGGAGGCAGCAGUAGGGAAUCUUCGGCAAUGGACGGAGGUCUGACCGAGCAACGCCGCGUGAGUGAAGAAGGUUUUCGGAUCGUAAAGCUCUGUUGUAAGAGAAGAACGGGUGUGAGAGUGGAAAGUUCACACUGUGACGGUAUCUUACCAGAAAGGGGCGGCUAACUACGUG
rnacentral:rRNA from 1 species